AUGUAACCCAAAAUUUCACUCAAACUUCUGCUAACCAUCUUAUGAAUCCCAUGAGGGUGAAAACAACAAUGCAGACCAAAAGUUGGAAGGUAAUACUCUCAGACUUAAUCAUUAAGUCAUAGAUUGAUUGGUGGAUGGAGGCUGAAGGGAGUACUCAUACUGGGACUUCAUUGGUCAAAAUCACGGAUCUUUCCAUGGAUAGGUAUCAUUUGUGAACAGGCAAUGGGAAGCCCCUGUUGGUUUCAGAGCAGGAGAGUGAUAUCGGCACUUUGUUUUAGGACUAUAACUUUGGCAAUUGUAUAAAAGGGAGAGUCGAUGGGGUUGCUAAUUGUAUGGGAACCAUUAAGAAGAAGACAUCAGGGUUUACAGUCUAAUUGAAGGAGCCAAAACAUAUAGGAGAAUGGUGAUCAGAGAAGG